CUGUAAUUCUCGAGCUCCUUAAGACAUCAGUUGUGCAACCUCCCUCCCAUUCUACUGUUUGCUUUUAUUGCUUGUGGGUCAGAAGCAGUGCAGUCUACAAGGAUUUCCUCCUUUCCUUCAAUUACUCCUGAAAGGCACUGCUUCUCAAGCCUGAUGUUUAAGUCAUGGAUUAUUUCCUAAACAGCACUGGGGCUGAAGCAGGAGGCAAAUGGCCGAUUCUCUCUGGAGGAAGAUGUGAAAAUCCAGGAUCCUGUGGACAUCGGUGGCUUUGGCUCCCUUGGGCGAGUGAGCAGAGUGAUGCUUCUCAGACUGCAGAAAGGCCCUCACAGACACACCCAGAAGUAAAGAAUAAUAUAUAAAUAGCUUCCUGGGGAUCCUUCAGAGGGGUACCUGUCCUCACAGAGACUGGAGGGCAGUCCCAAGCAUCUCACUCCCAGGUUGGAUACAGAAUGUCUUCCUGUUUGUGUAUCCUCUACUAUCAAUGCAAAGUACCUCUCAUCCAAUUUUCCACAGUCAACCCAAUGCGAAUACAAUCGACCCUCUGCGUCCUACUGUUCUGCAUCCCUGGAUUCAACCAACCAUCCAUUGAAGAUAUUUGGAAACAAAAACUGCACUUCUAGAGCAGCAAGAGACAUAGCACUCCUCCCCUGCAGAGACCACAGAAUCAUGGCGUCAUCUUGGAAGCAAAGAACAGCCCUCACCAGACACUAAACCUGUUGGCACUUUGAUGUUGGACUUCCCAGCAUCCAGAACUCUAAAAACUAAAAUUACUCAGUGCUUGUUAUUUUGUUCUAGCACACAAAUGGACUAAGAUAUUGCUAUAUUUUCUAGUGUUGAAAAUACAUUCAAUGUAACAAUUGCCCUCAGAUGUUGUCUAACAUAUAACUAAGAUCUAAAAAAUGCAACAAAAGCUUUGUGUUUUAGACUGGUGUUGUAUAUAAGAGUAAGAGGAGAGACAGGAAACUAGCCUGAUUUGAGAGGGAUGUAUUUGGGGCACCCAGUGUAACACCACACACAUAGAAGCCAAUAAAUAAAUGUUUGUUGAGUUAAUAAAAAGUGAGGUCUGUGAACAGGGGACUUUAUUAUUAUGGGAGGCACAGGGUGCAGUAGAAAUGGCUCUGGCCUUGAGGACACAUCUGUCCUGCACAUCUUUUGCUGCUCCUUCAUCCACUCCAGCCCUUAUGUACCUUAUGUACCUUAUGUACCCAUGAUGGCCUCCACUUGAGCUCUCUCCCCUUCUGGCUCUCAGAUAGGUAGGGCCAGUGGGGAGCAAUGGGAGAGGUCAGAGGGAGAAGGGAAGAGAAGGAGGCCACAGUACUCAAUCCUUGACCCCUUCCUUGUAAUGUCUAGGGAUAGCUGUGUCUCCCAAUCACAAGCCACUGUCCUGCCCUUUUUGACCUCCGACCCCAUCAACAUUCCAAGGGUGGAAAUGGUGAGGUUGGUGCUCUCCUCUGGGCACUGUUGUAACCUGUGGCUUCCCAACACCCUGCUGUAAACAGUCUUUUGAUGAAAGUCUUCUCAAAUUGCUUAAUUUGGACAGUGACAGCCUUUCCCACAUGGGCCUGUACAGCUAUGCUUGUUCAUAGGGAACACUUGGUUUUGUGCAGUAAAAAUCCAGUGAAGUGUGUUAAAGAAAAAAGCAAAGACAUGGGGUGAUGCAUGAGAAGCUGUUGAGUAACUUCUAGGGCCCAGAGGCAAGGUCAUCAGAACCCUUCCCAUGUGGUGCCAGAACUGGAACUAGAAGGUCAGCAGGAAGUAAAAUGGCCAUGCAAGGCACCCCUCCAGGCCUCAGUGGGGCUUUCAUAGCUGCUUCCCUCUGCAUGUCCCCCUGUCUCUCCCCACUAGCCAUGCCUGUCUCUCUUGGUUUCCCUGGUGAGAGAUGUUCCUCCCUUAAUUUACAGGUUCACAUGUUCUUAACUCAACUCACUAAGGUUCACAAUGCCUCUUAGGCCUUAAAAGAAUAACUAGGCUUUUCCACACAGGGCCAACACUCCACGCUUAUCCAAUUAGCUAUGGCAGGAGGAUCUGGGUCUGUUGUAUUUCUGCCUUCAUGAAUGAGGAAACAGUGGUAUAGUUACAUAAUUUUUAAGGUCACAUGGUGGUAGGACAAG
ensembl:lncRNA